AUACUCUGGUUUCUCUUCAGAUCGCAUAAAUCUUUUACCUUUUACUAAAGAUUUCCAUGGAAAAACAGGAAUAAUUCUCUCAUCUGGGUUAAGGUUGGUUUAUUCUUGGAAUAAAAUAA